GACGAACGCUGGCGGCGUGCUUAACACAUGCAAGUCGAACGAAGUGGCGAACGGGUGAGUAACGCGUAAUAAACCUGCCCUUCAGAGGGGGACAACAGUCGGAAACGACUGCUAAUACCGCAUACUGAAGGAGGGGAUUGCGUCUGAUUAGCUCGCUGGAGGGGUAACGGCCCACCAAGGCGAUGAUCAGUAGCCGGACUUAGAGGAUGAACGACCACAUUGGGACUUAGACACGGCCCAGACUCCUACGGGAGGCAGCAGUGGGGAAUCUUCCGCAAUUGACGAAAGUCUGACGGAGCAACGCCGCGUGAGUGAUGACGGCCUUCGGGUUUGAAAGCUCUGUUAAUCAGGACGCGGUACCGGAAUAGAAAGCCACGGCUAACUACGUGCCAGCAGCCGCGGUAAUUC
rnacentral:rRNA from 1 species